rnacentral:lncRNA from 1 species
CGGUUUCUUAGCUACAAGAACGCUUUCGCACGUUGCAAAAACUAACAUUUUAUUUUAAUGAAGUAAUAUUUUCAAUUUAAAGAACAAUAAUUUCAAUAUAAUCCAAUAAUAAAAGACAUACAAAUUAAACUAAAAUGAUUAUCAUUCAUAUAUAUCAAAAUAAUAACAUCGAUCAACGUAAUGUUGUCCUAAUAUUGUCAAUCAUUCAUAAUCAAACUAAUCAGACCACUGUCCUAACUUGGGCAACCUCAUCAGCAUGCUCUCUUUUAAGUUUUUUAAUUUCUUCAUUUCUUUUCAAGAGCGUGAGGGUUGUGGUUCUUCCGUGGCAACGCAUUCUCCCAGGUUUUUCUUUGCCAACUAUACUUUGAAAGGCUUCUGAAGAAGGUUGCCCAUUGUUU